AAAAAACGUCAAAGACACAGAUGCACAUAAACACUCACGGAGCCUUGAUGAUUUUUGACAGCUGUCCGCUAUAUAUUUAGUAGAUUCAAUCGGUUUUCCAACUGUAGAGCGGCAGUUGAUCAAAAUGAUGAUGAUACAUCACAGGCAAUUGAGAGUGGGAGCCAUGUGGUAGCUUGGGAGUACGUUCCUGACCACGUGGCCAUAAGGGUUCAACUGAGGGUACGUUCCCGACCAUGAAGCCAUGAGGGGUCGACUGAGGGUACGUUCCCGACCAUGAAGCCAUGAGGGGUCGACUGAGGGUACGUUCCCAACAAUGAAGCCAUUAGGGGUCGACUGAGGGUACGUUCCCGACCAUGAAGCCAUGAGGGGUCGACUGAGGGUACGUUCCCGAACAUGAAAUGAGGGGUUGACUGAGGGUACGUUCCUGACCACGUAGCCAUAAGGGAUCGACUGAGGGUAGUUUCCUGACUACGUAGCCAUAAGGGGUCAAUUGAGGGUACGUUCACGACCAAGUAGCUAUGAGGGGUCGACUGAGGGUACUUUCCUGACUACGUAGCCAUAAGGGGUCAAUUGAGGGUACGUUCACGACCAAGUAGCUAUGAGGGGUCGACUGAGGGUACUUUCCUGACUACGUAGCCAUAAGGGGUCAAUUGAGGGUACGUUCACGACCAAGUAGCUAUGAGGGGUCGACUGAGGGUACGUUCCCGACAAAGUAGCUAUGAAGGAUCGACUAAGGGUAGCUGGUUCAUUAACAUUUAAAGGAACAGGCACUCAAAACAGGUCACUCUGUGGAGGGCUGUUUUAGACAGGGUAAAAAGAGUGCUGUUUUAAAUGAUCCUUGGAGUAUUUUGACCAAAGCAUGUUACAGACAUUUCAAUAAGAACCCAAGGAACCAUAUCCACC
ensembl:lncRNA